AGGCCCCUUCUUGAUCAUCGCUGGUACGGAUGAGAGCGGCAGUGGGCAUUUGGAAAGCACCUGGGGCCGCGCCCGGGCGCAGUGCCCCCAUGUGGCCUCCCACCCCGGGCGGGCAGGACGAUUCCUGCCCAUCUGGAAGACCAGGAACCUGCGCGUUCACAGGGUUCGGAAGCCCGGGCUGCGCCUUCCCGCGGGGCCGGCUGCCGGGCUGGGGGCUCUUCCCGCCUCUGCAUGCACAGAGCCCGCGGUGCACGAACCUGCUCCCCGCCAGCCCCGCGGACUGGCAGGGCCGCUCUGGAGUCACCCGCGCCCGCUCCGCAGUGCGCAAACUCACUUCGCAGCGGGCUCUCCCGGGGCCAGCCCUUCCCUCCUGGGCGGGCAUUUUCACCUCCAGGUACAAGGGGGUGGUCCCCAGAGGAGGACUCAGGGGCUUAAGGAGAAGCUGAGGCCCGGUCCUCUGGCCUCAACGACUGCACAUUCUCGCCGCCUGCUUCACUUCUUAGAGCCUUGGAGGAGAUAGAACCUUCUAGUAAAAAUGAGAAAAUCCGGCCGGGCGCGGCGGCUCACGCCUGUAAUCCCAGCACUUUGGGAGGCUGAGGCGAGUGGAUCACCUGAGGUCGGGAUCACCUGAGGCUGAGGCUGAGGCAAGGAGAAUCGCUGGAACC
rnacentral:lncRNA from 1 species